rnacentral:lncRNA from 1 species
UGCCCUGGACUGGGCGAAGUGGGAGUGCUGGGUUCUGAUGAUGGUGAGUGGUCUUGGUUCCUGUUAGUAGGAUUCCUAUGUUUACCUUUCGCCAUCUGGUAAUCUCUGGAGUUAGUAGUUAUAGUUGACUCUGUUUAGAGAUUGUUCUUCUGGUGAUUCUGUUACCUUCUCUCAGCAGACCUGGGAGACAGAUUCUCUCCUCUGAGUCUCAGUGCUCAGAGCACUCUCUGCUGGCAAGCUCUCUUACAGGGAAGGUGAGCAGAUAUCUUGUUUUUGGACCUCCUCCUGGUCGAAGAAGAAGGCCCAAACAGGGCCUCUCUCAGAAGCUGUGUUGCUUUGGCAGUUCCCAGAAGCUGUCAGCUUCUGUGGUGCAGACUCUCACCUGUGCAGACUAAAUUCCUAAGUUCCAGGGAGUCCUGGAACCAAGAUGGUGACCGCUGCUCCUGAGGCUGAGGCCGCCUACCGACCCAGGAGGACACCUGUCCUCUGGUCCGGAUGGUGGCCGGCUGUCUGCAGCCUGCAAAGGGUAUGCCUCAGCGGCUCUGUGCUUCUGCCUGUCCCAGAAGCUGUCCGGUUCUCUGGCGUAUCCUCUAACCUGUUCAGACUAAUUUCCUAGGUCCCGCGGAGUCCUGGAACCCAAAUGGCGACCGCUGCUGCUGAGGCUGAGGCUGCCUCCCAAGCCAGGCAGACACCUGUCCUCUGGUCCGGACGGUGGCCGGCUGUCUGUGGCCCGCCAAGGGUGCUGCCUCAGCGGCUCUGUGCUUCUGCCUGUCCCAGAAGCUGUCCGGUUCUCUGGCGCACCCUCUAACCUGUUCAGACUAAUUUCCUAAGUUCUGCUGAGUCCUGGAACCUAAAGUUAUUUUUAAAACAAAACACCUUUUUUGUUGUUUGAAAAGGAAAGAAAAACAAUAAAAAGUAAAUGAUCAGACUUUGAGGUUCUGAAACAAACAAACCAACAAACAAGAAGACAAGAUAAUUGCUUCUACAUGGAGGCUGAUGUCACUUUGAAAUGAGGUGAACAGAAUUCUGUGGCCCAGACAAUGCCUGAUGUUCUACUGCAACCUCGUAUGUUUUAAAAUUCAAAAUUUGGAGCUAGAGAGGUCGCUCAGUGAUAAAGUACUGACAGCUCUUCUGGAGGACCAAGAUUCAACUCAUUGCACCAGUGUGGAAACUUAGAACUGUUUCUAAGGUGAUUUCCAUAAAAGGGUCGUUUGCCCCACCCCCAAGGGGUCUCAACCCACAGGCUGAGAACCACUGAUCCAGUGUUUUGUCUAUGAAAAAGUACACAAAAGCAAAGAAGGUGAAUCUUCAUUGUUAAAUAUUCAUGAACAGCAGUGCAAGAAUUUCUCCCAGCAAGAUUUUGCGGAAAGGACCUGAUAUAGCUGUCUCUUGUGAGGCUAUGCCAGUGACUGGCAAAUACAGAAGUGGAUAAUCACAGUCAUCUAUAGGAUGGAACACAGGGUGCCCAGUGGAUGAGCAAGAGAAAGUACCCAAAGCUGAAGGGGUCUGUAACCCUAUAGGAGGAACAACAAUAUGAACUAACCAGUAUCCCCAGCGCUUGUGUCUCUAGCUGCAUAUGUAGCAGAAGGUGGCCUAGUCAGCCAUCAUUGGGAAGAGAGGCCCCUAGGUCUUGCAAACUUUAUAUGCCCCAGUACAGGGGAAAGCCAGGGCCAAGAAGCAGGAGUGGG